UGGGGAAUAUUGCACAAUGGAGGGAACUCUGAUGCAGCGACGCCGCGUGAGUGAUGAAGGAAUUCGUUUCGUAAAACUCUGUUCUAUGGGAAGAAAAGGACUGUACCAUAGGAGAAAGCUCCGGCUAAAUACGUGCCAGCAGCCGCGGUAAUACGUAUGGAGCGAGCGUUGUCCGGAAUUAUUGGGUGUAAAGGGUGCGCAGGCGGCUUUACAAGUUGGAUGUGAAAUAUUGUGGCUCAACCACAAACGUGCAUCCAAAACUGCAAAGCUUGAGUUAAGGAGAGGUAAGUGGAAUUCCUGGUGUAGCGGUGGAAUGCGUAGAUAUCAGGAGGAAUACCGGUGGCGAAGGCGACUUACUGGACUUAAACUGACGCUCAGGCACGAAAGCGUGGGGAGCAAACAGG
rnacentral:rRNA from 1 species